rnacentral:rRNA from 1 species
UAAUACGUAGGGUGCGAGCGUUAAUCGGAAUUACUGGGCGUAAAGCGUGCGUAGGCGGUUCGUUGUGUCUGUGGUGAAAGCCCCGGGCUUAACCUGGGAAUGGCCAUGGAAACUGGCGAGCUGGAGUGUGGCAGAGGAGGGUGGAAUUCCGCGUGUAGCAGUGAAAUGCGUAGAGAUGCGGAGGAACACCGAUGGCGAAGGCAGCCCUCUGGGCUAACACUGACGCUGAGGCACGAAAGCGUGGGGAGCAAACAGGAUUAGAUACCCUGGUAGUCCACGCCCUAAACGAUGUCGACUAGGUGUCCGGGAAGCGAUUUCUGGGUACCGUAGCUAACGCGUGAAGUCGACCGCCUGGGGAGUACGGCCGCAAGGUU